rnacentral:rRNA from 1 species
AUUGAACGCUGGCGGCAUGCCUUACACAUGCAAGUCGAACGGCAGCGGGCCUUCGGGUGCCGGCGAGUGGCGAACGGGUGAGUAAUGCAUCGGAACGUGCCAUUGAGUGGGGGAUAACGUAGCGAAAGUUACGCUAAUACCGCAUAUUCUGUGAGCAGGAAAGCAGGGGACCGCAAGGCCUUGCGCUCUUUGAGCGGCCGAUGUCAGAUUAGCUAGCUGGUGAGGUAAAGGCUUACCAAGGCGACGAUCUGUAGCGGGUCUGAGAGGAUGAUCCGCCACACUGGAACUGAGACACGGUCCAGACUCCUACGGGAGGCAGCAGUGGGGAAUUUUGGACAAUGGGCGCAAGCCUGAUCCAGCCAUGCCGCGUGAGUGAAGAGGGCCUGGUUGGUU